GACGAACGCUGGCGGCGUGCUUAACACAUGCAAGUCGAACGGAAAGGCCCCUUUGGGGGUACUCGAGUGGCGAACGGGUGAGUAACACUUGAGUAACCUGCCCUUGACUUCGGGAUAACUUCAGGAUACUGGGGCUAAUACCGGAUAGGAAUCCUUUCUGCAUGGUGGGGGUUGGAAAGCUUCGGCGGUUUUUGAUGGACUCGCGGCUUAACAGCUUGUUGGUGUGGUAGUGUCUUACCAAGGCUUUGACGGGUAGCCAGCCUGAGUGGGCGACCGGCCACAUUGGGACUGAGAUACGGCCCAGACUGCUACGGGAGGCAGCAGUGGGGAAUAUUGCACAAUGAGCGGAAGCCUGAUGAAGAAACGCCGCGUGCGGGAUGACGGCCUUAGGGUUGUAAACCGCUUUCAGCAGGGGCGAAGCUUGUGGUGACGGUACCUGCAGAAGAAGCACCGGCUAACUACGUG
rnacentral:rRNA from 1 species